ensembl:rRNA 5S_rRNA 5S ribosomal RNA
GCUGGCAGCUAGGUCUCUGCAACUUUCACAUUGUUGCCCACUGAAGCUAAGAAGGGCUGAGCCUGGUCAGUACCUGGAUGGGAGACCCCAUGGGAAAGCUAGGUUGCUGCUGGAA